CUGGCCUUGACAUGCCNGGNAACGAAGCAGAGAUGCAUUAGGUGCCCGAAAGGGAAAGUGGACACAGGUGCUGCAUGGCUGUCGUCAGCUCGUGUCGUGAGAUGUUGGGUUAAGUCCCGCAACGAGCGCAACCCUUGCCAAUAAUUGCCAUCAUUUAGUUGGGCACUUUAUUGGGACUGCCGGUGACAAACCGGAGGAAGGUGGGGAUGACGUCAAGUCCUCAUGGCCUUAUGGCCAGGGCUUCACACGUAAUACAAUGGUCGGUACAGAGGGUUGCAACCCGCGAGGGGGAGCCAAUCCCAGAAAGCCGAUCGGAGUCCGGAUUGGAGCUGNAACUCGACUGNAUGAAGUCGGAAUCGCUAGUAAUCGCGGAUCAACAUGUCGCGGGGAAAACGAUNCCNGGCCUUGNACACCCGGCCGCACAACAUGGGAGNGGGGUCUAACAAAAGNAGGNAGCUAACCGNANGGGGACGCUUAACACGGAGGAUNAUGAAUGGGGGGG
rnacentral:rRNA from 1 species